AUUGAACGCUGGCGGCAUGCUUUACACAUGCAAGUCGAACGGCAGCGGGGGCUUCGGCCUGCCGGCGAGUGGCGAACGGGUGAGUAAUGCAUCGGAACGUGCCCAUGUCGUGGGGGAUAACUACGCGAAAGCGUGGCUAAUACCGAAUCCGCCCUGAGGGGGAAAGCGGGGGAUCUUUCGGGACCUCGCGCGAUUGGAGCGGCCGAUGUCGGAUUAGCUAGUUGGUGGGGUAAAGGCUCACCAAGGCGACGAUCCGUAGCUGGUCUGAGAGGAUGAUCAGCCACACUGGGACUGAGACACGGCCCAGACUCCUACGGGAGGCAGCAGUGGGGAAUUUUGGACAAUGGGCGCAAGCCUGAUCCAGCCAUGCCGCGUGAGUGAAGAAGGCCUUCGGGUUGUAAAGCUCUUUCGGCCGGGAAGAAAUCGCAUUCUCUAAUAUAGGAUGUGGAUGACGGUACCGGACUAAGAAGCACCGGCUAACUACGUGCCAGCAGCCGCCGUAACAC
rnacentral:rRNA from 1 species